AUUCUUUUAGUAUAUAGUAUAUUUAACUUCCAAUUAAAAGGACUAAUUUAAUUUAGAAAGAAUA
rnacentral:tRNA from 1 species